rnacentral:lncRNA from 1 species
GAAGUCAUGGACGAAUAUCUUGAGUAUCUUCUUCCAGACGCCUUUCAUACACUCCUUGGUGACAUCACCCCAAGCUCAAGCAAGGUUCUUGAUGCAGUCAUAGAUGUUGUAAUCCUCCCAGAAUUGCAUCAGUGUCUUCCUCAGUUGCAGCAAUAGACUGGGCAAGGUCCUCCUCAGGUAGUAGACCUUAAAAGCUGCUGUAACUUCUUGAUCCAUUGAUUGGACCAAAGAGGUGGUGUUUGGAGGAAGAAACACUGCUUUGAUAUUGGGAUGAAGAUCACCAAUAAAAGAAGGAUGUCUGGGAGCAUUAUCAACAACAAGCAAAAUCUUGAAAGGUCGUUAAAAGUUUCUCCAUGUCUGACAUGGGCUCUUGAAUCUUCCUAGUCUCAUUGCCUCCAAGGAAGCAGAUCCUCUGACAGCUCCCACCACUUUGUUCUUGUUCUUCAAGAUCACAGCUGUGGCGGAAUGGGACAUGCCCGACUGGUGAGGACACAGCUGAGAAGACACUGUUUAUCUAUGAAGCAGGAAGCAGGUACUCACCAGACAACAAACCUGCUGGAGCCUUGAUCUUGGACUUCCCAGACUCCUGAACUGUGAGAAGUUUGUUGUUUAUAAGCCACCCAGUCGGCCGCCCAAACAUACUAAGACAGCUUACUAACCCAGAAACCCAAUUUGUCAGGAAGACUUACAUUAGUCAAGCUCAUGGAGACUUAGGAAUAGAUAAAAAAGCGAGCAUUUUAAUGGAUAGUGCGAAGCAGAUCUAAUACCGGUUUUCCGGGGGCGGGGCGGUAGGGAGUGCCUUUCUAACCAAGGGAAAUGGUUUAGUAAUAGAACUAAUCUGAUUUAAGUACAGCCUCUAAGUGGAUAAUUGAGAUUAAACAGUAGAUUCCGGUUGUGAUAUAGGAGAAAAGAAGGUGC